rnacentral:piRNA from 1 species
UGGCUACGUUAGCCACAGAUGGCUUUAAUUC